CCCCAUAAAAUACACGGAGGGGACGAUGUUAAAUUUUCUUUUAUUAUUGUGUUACUGUUUAAUACUUUGUCCGAUCCAGUUAAAACACGUAACAAACCCGGCCCCUAGAUGAUCAGAGCCAGUGCUCCCGAGUGUCCAGCCAUACGACGGUGGUGCACGACUCUGAACUACCACCGUGUCCCUCGGUGUCCUGCCGAGCCGUCGAACACAGGUCCGGGAUAAGGCGUUCCUUGGACGUCGCCACGGAAGUCUGGAAGUUGUCCCACUCCAGAGACGAGACGCGGCUCUGGUCACUUGCCUCCGGACCGUGAACGGUUGCCAGCGUGACUCGCCGGUUCCGACCCGCCGACUUGGCACGAUCCUGCACGGUAUUUGUUACAGUUUUCCAUAAGUGCAAGCUGCGGAUGCUUCCCCUAAUCGCGAUGAUAAACGAUUUCUUGGAGAAGGCAGAAGAAAUCAUGAAAAUAGAUUGCGUUGUGAAGGAAUUCUCCAAAGGGUUUCCACGGUUCGAGAUCGAGUGCAUCAUGAACGACGACUUCAAGGAGG